GAUGAACGCUGGCGGCGUGCCUAAUACAUGCAAGUCGAGCGAACAGACGAGGAGCUUGCUCCUCUGACGUUAGCGGCGGACGGGUGAGUAACACGUGGAUAACCUACCUAUAAGACUGGGAUAACUUCGGGAAACCGGAGCUAAUACCGGAUAAUAUAUUGCACCGCAUGGUUCAAUAGUGAAAGACGGUUUUGCUGUCACUUAUAGAUGGAUCCGCGCCGCAUUAGCUAGUUGGUAAGGUAACGGCUUACCAAGGCAACGAUGCGUAGCCGACCUGAGAGGGUGAUCGGCCACACUGGAACUGAGACACGGUCCAGACUCCUACGGGAGGCAGCAGUAGGGAAUCGUCCGCAAUGGGCGAAAGCCUGACGGAGCAACGCCGCGUGAGUGAUGAAGGUCUUCGGAUCGUAAAACUCUGUUAUUAGGGAAGAACAAAUGUGUAAGUAACUAUGCACGUCUUGACGGUACCUAAUCAGAAGGCCACGGCUAACUACGUG
rnacentral:rRNA from 1 species